AGAGGAAGAGCAAGAGGAGGAGGAGGAGGAGGACGACAAGGUCAAGGUCGAAGAGGCCAUGCACAGACCCUAUUUCUGAUGAUAUAAGAACAACUUUGGUGGACCAUGUCAUCAACCAUGGCCUGACUAUGAGGGAAGCUGGGCAGAGAGUCCACCCACAUUUAAGCCGCUUCACAGUGGCAUCCAUAAUAAGGACAUUCCGGCUGGAAAACAGAAUGACUAGAAGACCUUCUGGGGGAGGACGCCAACGCCUGUUCACACAACAGCAGGAACUUGCCGUUGUGGACCUAGUGAGGGCAGACAAUGCCAUCCGUCUCCACCAGCUACGACAGAAAAUACUUGCAGACAGGUUCAACAACAUGAACCACGUGAGCAUCACCACCAUCAGACGCAUCUUGGGAAAACACAACAUCACCAUGAAGCAGCUCUACAGGGUCCCAUUUGAGAGGAACAGUGUCCGGGUCAAAGGACUUGUAGCUGAAUAUGUACGGAGAAUCUUGGCCAUGGAUGGAGCUGCAUAGCCUCAUGGAUUCAUUUACAUUGAUGAAGCUGGAUUCGACCUGAGCAAAACAAGACAACGGGGUCGUAAUGUAAUUGGCCACAGGGCAAUUGUGCACGUCCCGGGGCAGCGCGGGGGUAAUAUCACAUUGUGUGCCGCCAUAAGCUUUCGAAGGCUUCUGCAUCAUCAUGCAAAACUAGGUCCAUACAAUAGCCAACAUAUACUCACAUUUCUAGAUGCUCUCAAUAAUAUAGUUGUACAGAACAGACCAGAUCAGCCCAGAUUUGUGGUGGUAUGGGAUAAUGUCAGUUUCCAUUGGGCUGCUCGGGUCCAUGCCUGGUUCACCAACCACUAUCAAUUUGAAGUGGUAUACUUGCCCCCUUACUCACCAUUUUUAAACCCUAUAGAGGAAUUAAUUUCGGCUUGGAGAUGGCGUGUAUAUGACCGCCAACCACCUGCCCGCAUGCCUCUUCUGCAGGCAAUUGAACAGGCCUGCGGCGACAUUCAGGUGACAGCAAUCCAUGGAUGGUUUCGACAUGCAAGGGGAUAUUUUCCCCGGGAGGUGACAUUCCUUGCAAUGUCGAUGAGGUCCUGUGGCCAGACCCCAAC
ensembl:lncRNA